GUGGGGAAUCUUGCGCAAUGGGCGAAAGCCUGACGCAGCCAUGCCGCGUGAAUGAUGAAGGUCUUAGGAUUGUAAAAUUCUUUCACCGGGGACGAUAAUGACGGUACCCGGAGAAGAAGCCCCGGCUAACUUCGUGCCAGCAGCCGCGGUAAUACGAAGGGGGCUAGCGUUGGUCGGAAUUACUGGGCGUAAAGGGCGCGUAGGCGGACAGUUUAGUCAGAGGUGAAAGCCCAGGGCUCAACCUUGGAAUUGCCUUUGAUACUGGCUGUAUUGAGUACGGGAGAGGUGAGUGGAACUCCGAGUGUAGAGGUGAAAUUCGUAGAUAUUCGGAAGAACACCAGUGGCGAAGGCGACUCACUGGCCCGUUACUGACGCUGAGGCGCGAAAGCGUGGGGAGCAAACAGGAUUAGAUACCCCUGUAGUCC
rnacentral:rRNA from 1 species